rnacentral:lncRNA from 1 species
UUCUGGUCUUCUGUUAGCGCCCCGAAAGCUCACAUUAUUAGAUGGCGAUGUAGCACUUUGGCUUCUGUACUGAAGGUGGAGUUCCUGUUCGAAAGUUGUCUACGAGUUAUGUUACUUGUGUUUGUCUGCGAGAGAGGUGAUUGUGUCGGUGAACAAGUAAGCUGUUCAGAAAGUAGAUUUCCAGUUCCGAGAUGUAGGCAUUCUUUCUGUCUAUGAAGGCGGAAGGCCUAAUUGAUUUAAUUGAAAGAUACAGAUAGAGCAGGUGAGGAAGCAGAAGCACUAACAACAGCAAAAGAAAGAUCUUUAUCUAAAGCCGAAGCCGACGAACAAAGGACUUGAAGUUGACUGUUACUAGAAGUUGCUGACGCCACGGAUUUGGGCUAUUUUAUCCAGGCUUCUGUAUCAAAGCCAGUCGACAACAUCAUAUGGCUAACUAACCUACAUCUAUAAGCCCUAGCUCAUUACCUCUUCUCCCGCUGAGAAAUCCCUAUUUUUCUCCAGACACUCACUCCUUUGUUCAAGCGUCAGGCGCGAAACUGUGUUCGGGUGCUGAAAGCCUUGAAGAAAAAGGGUUCUCUCACUUUAUCGGUACAUUACCUCUGUAACCCACGGUUCUUGCGAAAGCCCUGACAUGCCAUUGGUAGUGAGUUGGCCACACGCGAUGCUCUUAUGCUUUAGCCUAGUGUUACGCCCCCCCGAAACUCAAAUGGGCGAACCUUCCAUGUGGUCCCGGUACUCGGUAAAGAAUAUUAUGGAAUAGAAGCGAGUAAAGCCGCCUCGGAGACGAAAGACUAUCCGACACACAUAAUCAUUGUAUGUAGUAAUAGCCUUGGUAUGAGACGAGCAGAUGAUCCUUUAAACUGUCUUAUUAACGCAAUGAUAAUGACUAUCAGCUACGACACUGCCCCCUCUGAAUUCAAUGCUUACCCAAGCUCCUCCCCCAAUGAACUCCUGUUUCUAGAAAUAAGGGCGACAAUAAGACAAAUGGAAUCAACCACACCUUCGCAGUACACUUAGACCUCUUUCAUUGAAAAGGAGAAUCCGCUUAUACACUAAAAGUAGGGGCCCCCUACCGAAAGCAAGUGGGAUAAAGUGUUUCAAAGGUGGAAAAAGUCACUCAUUUCUCUGACUUACACUAAAAGCUAUACUUCUAACUAAUAGCUCAAAGGCACAUGGCGAUAGAUGCUUCUUGUCCUAUCUUUUUCAGUAAGGAAGAAAACACUUUGCAUGCCUUUCUGGACUGUGAGGUCGCUUUGGUAAUGUGAGCUGGCCUACUCCUUUAGUAUGGAGCCACGAGUAAUCAAUUGGAUUUUUAUUGGAAGUCUCUUUUUCUCAUUUGGAUGGUGGGCCUUAUAUAUGUGCUCGUUGUAUGUCUGUCUCAUCUGUUACGUUUCCUCAUUUUCUAUAAGAUCGUUGCUUUUUUAGGUGUGACGACAACUUUCUCUUCUUUUAUGAAAUAUGUCUCUUCGGGGGGCCGCAUGAAAAUGGAAAUACUGAGUCCUUUUGAAAUAGGCUGUAGUAUUGAGUCGGAUAGGAAGUAUUGAGUCGGAUAGGAAGUAUUGAGUCGGAAUCCAGCUCAGAGUCAAUUAAUACUUUUCGUAAUGUUAUUAUGGCAGAUAACGAGGCGGAGUUAUAUAGAAUAAGAAGGAUCAGAAGAUAUCUAGAAGAAUAGAAGGAUCAGAUAUCUAGAGCGGCAGGACUACUAGAACGUGUCCCCCCAGAAGAAUAAUGGUUCUUAUUCCAGACUUUUGAUAGAGCACUUCGAUCAAGCUCUGAAUGUCGACCAUUAUCGCUUUUCUAUGGGAUAUCUAAGUCGACCAUUAUCGCUUUUCUAUGGGAUAUCUAAUAUAUGGAAUUCCCCUUUUUAGAGAAGAAGGCAAUGUAGCAGGACCGGCUCCAAAAUCUCAUGAUCAAUUCCAAUCAUAUUCAUCGAAUUAUGAAACUGGGCCCUUAUACCGAUGUCAGAAAGGAAGCUACCAACUAGAUGAAGUCGAAGAAAGGAAGCUACCAACUAGAUGAAGUCGAAGGUAGAGCCAGUGAGCAGCCUAAGCCAUGCUUUUCAGCGACAUAUCAUAGAGGGCAGUCUCAAUUCCUUUAUUAACCAACUGCCUGAAGACGAGACACAAGCGAUACAAUCUAUAUUCUAUCGUUCAUUCUACCGAGAUUUUGAACUACGAGGAUUUCCGCCGCUCCUUGGGCUUGCCGCUCCCCUAUUUUCGGUGGAACUACGUCUGACCUGAUCCCUAUAAAAAGCGGGGGGGAAAUACAGACACUUUUGAAAACCUCAUUCCAUUCAUUUCUAGGCGGGGCCGGAUGGUUGUUUGAUUCUACAAAUAGUUAGUUUAAGUGAGUUGGAUGACAUAAAUAGAUAGUUUAAGUGAGUUGGAUGACAUAAUGGAUUACCUUCUACGGGAAUCUUCCUCUUUUUCCCUAGUCCCAAUCUAUUAGUGGUUAUUAAUCUCAUUCUUUUGUGGCAGUUUGACUUUCUUUUGCUGUCGUGCCAGGCGCUUUUCUGGGUUCUACUUUCUUUCUCUGGGAUUUGGAUUCUAUCUAGCCAGAGUCCGUUUCCGUUGUUGACUAUACAAUCAAUAUCAGUAGAACACUUUUGACCAGUAUUUGUUUGCUCUUCAAUGUACAAAAAAGGAUAGGAGAUCAUUUCGAAUAAAUAAAGUCAAGGUUCGAAAGCUAGUAGGGAAAAGCCAGUUGUUUUUUCCUUGCUAAAAAGAAAAGAGUGGUGCUUCUAUUCUAAUGGAGCUAAUAAGCGCUCUGACUAUAUAAUUGACAACCUAUACUAUACACGUGCAGGGGUUUCUCACAUCUACCAGACUAGAUAAAGAUCCCUUAUUCUAUCGAGCUAGCCUACAAAAUAUGGCAUACUCCUAGAAUUCAGAAAGACUACUAGAAAUAUUCGAAUUCAUAAAUACCACUAGAAAUCUUAUUAAUACAUUCAUUAUAUAUAGAUGUAUAGGACACCUAUCCACAUUAGACCACUGGAAAUCAGAUUAAUACAUUAUAUAUAGAAAUAUAGGACACCUAUCCGGGAUUUGCUUUCAAGUAUUUGACUAACAUUCUAAUCGUGGGGGUUGGAAGUGCAGAAUACCAUUGGAUUGUGUUUUUUGCUUUGGCAGAAUACUCUCAUAGGCUUGCUUGCCCAUCUGGAACUCCUUUCUUGUAGUUUCUUUUUACCUCGUCCCAUCCCGGGGUACUAACUCUGUAGAAUUGAAUCCCUCUUCGAGCCUGUUCCAUUGGGGUACAAAGUUCGCCUACACAUUUCGAUUGAGAAAAUGGGUAAGCGCAUCCUCCUCCUUUUGCCUGCCGCCCGGCGCCCCAAAGAGGAUAGGAUACAACUAAGCGCUCAGGACGAAGACUUAUUCCAACAAUACCGCGACACAACAGCAGUUCCAGCAGUCCAAUAGUAUGAUGUUUACUCCCGAAAAGGGGAUAGUUUCAAUAGUCGUUAGUUUUCCACGUGAUUCGAAAUAGUAGGGUGAGCGAAUCCAACUCCUAUCUCGUUACGCUGAGAGCUCCAGCUGGGUUAUAGAAAGGCCGGGAUAAGACCUUUCAAUGGAAGGCCAUUUUCCGCCAGGCAGCACUAUAGAGAGACCUUUACAGAUCUUCUCAAGCAAGCAAAGCAGUAGAAUGAUUAUGAGAUAACUCUCCCUUAGGCAGGAAUGGAAUUGAUAUGCUAUUGAGAAAGAAAUCAGACUCCUCCCACCAUGCAGCGUGUAGGCGCAUUCUAUGAUGUUAGAAGGCUAUCGGCCCGGGCACUUGGAGUACGGCACUGGGUAAAUAGCUAUGUAAACGGAGCUCUGUCACAGAUAGAGCGGGGACUUCCUUAGUGAGUGGUACAUGAAGCCCAUGUCAAGAAAAGCUUCAAAGUACUGAUUGCAAUGUAAUAGCUUCAAAGUACUGAUUGCAAUGUAAUAUAGUAUAGCCCAGCCCCUUCGGUUGUAGGAAAGGAAUCCGGGUCCAUUCCGGAAUGAUGAAGACCGAUAGAAUAGAAUACCCCAAGCCACUUUAGGAUUUACCCUACAUAUACUCGGGACCAACAUAUCAAACUAUAUUUACCUUUCCUCUUUCUAUUUUACAGGUCAGGCAAUAAGAGAAAGUAUAGAUCGGCUCAUUCAUUACAGUAAGGGUUCCGGGAAGUCAAUAAUUGAUUAGUAUUGGUGAGUCAGGGUUCCGGGAAGUCAAUAAUUGAUUAGUAUUAUCAACAAUGGGUGACCUUUUACCCCAAAUUACUUCUAUGGGCGCAGGGGUUGUCAAUUCUCUUGUGGAUAACGGAUCAUUAAUGUCAUUAAGGGGUCAAGGGACAGAAAGAAUGUCUACGACGAACAAAAGACUUGAGGAACAGCUCACUCCUAACUUGACUCACUGAAUGGAAUAUCUCUAUAAUGACCCUAUUAUAUACAUACUACUCCCUUCUUCUGUAUCUGUAUAAGAUUAUACAAGUACUAUUUCAUCUGAUCCAACAGAUCUUGCUUCAGCAGAUUCUCUGGAUUGUAAUCCUUAUUCCGCUCUUUCUUCUUUUCUUCCUCUAACUGUGCUCGCCUUUCCUUUAGUACCCUUCGAGUGAGCGCUCUCUUAUACGUUGCUAGUUGGGUUCCCCGAGAAACUCCCUUCUUUCUACGUGACGAGCUUCUUUCUUCCCCUAAGCUUCCAGACAAAUCUUUGCUUGUUCCUUGGUUGUUGAAUGAAAUAAUCAAUCAAUAAAUACAGUAGCGCACAUAGUAUAGAGGUAAAGUCAACUCACUGCUUCCCUUCCGCCAUGACUUCAUUAAGCGAUUGUCACCGCGAGUUUCUUCUUUCAAAUUAUAUAGCUUGUUGCAAUUGAUAUAAUGAAAAUAGGAUAGCGGACUCCUUAUCGUAUAGCUUACUCCUUAUAUAGUAAUCGGACUCAAUAAUAUCAUUUUGGCGGCAGGAAUCCUAAUUAUAGGACAGAGACAGC